rnacentral:lncRNA from 10 species
CAGAUUCUCUCUGAGCCAAAUGGGUUAAGGGAGAAGUGAUGGAGGCGAUUCGAAGCUGUCUUUCCUACCCUCUUCAGUACCUCUUCCAGUGAUGUGAAGUUAAAACCAGGAGAUCUCAUCAGAGGUGCCUGAAAAGCACCUCAGCCGAAGGCCUCACAUAGAGAGACCUAAGAAUGAAGGCACCUGGACUAGGAAUGUGAAUAUGUGAAAGAACAUGACCGGCCAGGGGCCCUGAGUUAUUGAAUGCAACCCCCUUCAGACACUGCAACACACAGGCUGUGCACCAAGCCUAGUAUGGGAAGGACAGCUUUUCUUCAUGAGGCCUGCCAGGUAAAGCCAGCUAUGAAACAGGAAGUUGACCUUCACCAGACACUGAACCUACUGGCACCUUGAUCUUGGACUUCCCAGCCUUACAAACUGUAAGAAAUAAAUGUCUGUUGUUCAUAAG